UACGUAGGAGGCAAGCGUUAUCCGGAUUUACUGGGCGUAAAGCGGGUGCAGGCGGUUCUUCAAGUCAAAUGUAAAAUCUCCCGGCUUAACUGGGAGGGACCAUUCGAUACUGUUGAACUAGAGGGCAGCAGAGGGAGACGGAAUUCCCGGUGUAGUGGUGGAAUGCGUAGAUAUCGGGAGGAACACCAGUGGCGAAGGCGGUCUCCUGGGCUGUUUCUGACGCUGAGAUCCGAAGGCGUGGGGAGCGAACAGGAUUAGAUACCCCCGUA
rnacentral:rRNA from 1 species